GACGAACGCUGGCGGCGUGCUUAACACAUGCAAGUCGAACGGAAAGUCCCUGCUUUUUUGGGGUUCUCGUGUUGCGAACGUGUGAGUUACACUUGAGUAACCUGCCCUUGACUUUGUGAUAUCUUCAUGAAACUGGGUCUAAUACCGCAUAGGAUCUCCUGCUUCUUGUUGGGGGUUGGUUAGUUUCGGCGGUUGGGGAUGGACUCGCGUCUUAUCAGCUUGUUGGUGGGGUAGUGGCUUACCAAGGGUUUGACGGGUAGCCGGCCUGAGAGGGUGACCGGAGAAAUUGGGACUGAGAUAAGGCCCAGACUAGAAGGGGAGGGAGCAGUGGGGAAUAUAGCAGAAUGGGAGGAAGCAUGAUGAAGCAAAGCAGCGUGGGGGAUGACGGGCUUGGGGUUGUAAAGGGAAGUAGAAUGAGACGAAGCGUGAGUGACGGUAAUGGGUAAAGAAGCACCGGCUAACUACGUG
rnacentral:rRNA from 1 species